rnacentral:rRNA from 1 species
UACGGAGGGAGCUAGCGUUGUUCGGAAAUACUGGGCGUAAAGCGCACGUAGGCGGCGCAGCAAGUCAGGGGUGAAAUCCCGGGGCUCAACCCCGGAACUGCCCUUGAAACUGCAGUGCUAGAAUCUUGGAGAGGCGAGUGGAAUUCCGAGUGUAGAGGUGAAAUUCGUAGAUAUUCGGAAGAACACCAGUGGCGAAGGCGACUCGCUGGACAAGUAUUGACGCUGAGGUGCGAAAGCGUGGGGAGCAA